GACGAACGCUGGCGGCGUGCCUAAUACAUGCAAGUAGAACGCACAGUUUAUACCGUAGCUUGCUACACCAUAGACUGUGAGUUGCGAACGGGUGAGUAGCGCGUAGGUAACCUGCCUGGUAGCGGGGGAUAACUAUUGGAAACGAUAGCUAAUACCGCAUAAUAUUGAUUAUUGCAUGAUAAUUGAUUGAAAGAUGCUAUUGCAUCACUACCAGAUGGACCUGCGUUGUAUUAGCUAGUAGGUGAGGUAACGGCUCACCUAGGCGACGAUACAUAGCCGACCUGAGAGGGUGAUCGGCCACACUGGGACUGAGACACGGCCCAGACUCCUACGGGAGGCAGCAGUAGGGAAUCUUCGGCAAUGGACGAAAGUCUGACCGAGCAACGCCGCGUGAGUGAAGAAGGUUUUCGGAUCGUAAAGCUCUGUUGUAAGAGAAGAACGGGUGUGAGAGUGGAAAGUUCACACUGUGACGGUAGCUUACCAGAAAGGGACGGCUAACUACGUG
rnacentral:rRNA from 1 species